rnacentral:rRNA from 1 species
UGGGGAAUUUUGGACAAUGGGCGAAAGCCUGAUCCAGCAAUGCCGCGUGUGUGAAGAAGGCCUUCGGGUUGUAAAGCACUUUUGUCCGGAAAGAAAUCCUUGGCUCUAAUACAGUCGGGGGAUGACGGUACCGGAAGAAUAAGCACCGGCUAACUACGUGCCAGCAGCCGCGGUAAUACGUAGGGUGCAAGCGUUAAUCGGAAUUACUGGGCGUAAAGCGUGCGCAGGCGGUUUGCUAAGACCGAUGUGAAAUCCCCGGGCUCAACCUGGGAACUGCAUUGGCGACUGGCAGGCUAGAGUAUGGCAGAGGGGGGUAGAAUUCCACGUGUAGCAGUGAAAUGCGUAGAGAUGUGGAGGAAUACCGAUGGCGAAGGCAGCCCCCUGGGCCAAUACUGACGCUCAUGCACGAAAGCGUGGGGAGCAAACAGGAUUAGAUACCCUGGUAGUCCACGCCCUAAACGAUGUCAACUAGUUGUUGGGGAUUCAUUUCCUUAGUAACGUAGCUAACGCGUGAAGUUGACCGCCUGGGGAGUACGUCGCAAGAUUAAAACUCAAUGAAUUGACGGGGUCAUAGCUGUUUCCU